CAGAGUUUGCAAAAACUCCCAACCCCUUUGUGAAACGUACUUGCCAAGUUUGCCUUCGGCGGGGGAGGCUCCCCUCAAGGGAAGCCGGAACCCGCCGGCCGGGAACUGCCAAAACUCUUGUUUUGGACUACCAUUCUCUGAGUUAAGCUUAUUCAAUAAGUUUAA
rnacentral:misc_RNA from 1 species